GAUGAAUGCUGGCGGCGCGCCUAACACAUGCAAGUCGAGCGGAAAGGCCCUUCGGGGUACUCGAGCGGCGGACGGCUGAGUAACGCGUGGGAACAUGCCCCAAAGUGAGGAAUAACUGCCCGAAAGGGUAGCUAAUACCGCAUAUGAUCUUCGGAUUAAAGGAUUUAUCCGCUUUGGGAGUGGCCCGCGUACGAUUAGGUAGUUGGUGAGGUAAAGGCUCACCAAGCCUACGAUCGUUAACUGGUCUGAGAGGAUGAUCAGUCAGGCUGGAACUGAUACACGUUCCAGACUCCUACGGGAGGCAGCAGUGAGGAAUCUUCCACAAUGGGCGAAAGCCUGAUGGAGCGACGCCGCGUGCAGGAUGAAGGCCUUCGGGUUGUAAACUGCUUUUAUACGGAACGAAAAGCCCUGGGUUAAUACCCUGGGGUCAUGACGGUACCGUAAGAAUAAGCACCGGCUAA
rnacentral:rRNA from 1 species